AACGUGUUAAUUUAAUGGUAGAAUGUCAUGCUACGAACAUGAUAAUAUAAGUUCAAAUCUUAUACACGUUA
rfam:Penicillium steckii strain IBT 24891 PENSTE_contig051, whole genome shotgun sequence.